UCAAAGGCUCUUUUCAGAGCCACCCACUGCUUUCAGGCAAAAGAGCU
rfam:Ailuropoda melanoleuca scaffold2498_19, whole genome shotgun sequence.